rnacentral:rRNA from 1 species
GACGAACGCUGGCGGCGUGCUUAACACAUGCAAGUCGAACGGAGAGCCGAUGAAGGAGUUUUCGGACAACGGAGUCGGUUUCUUAGUGGCGGACUGGUGAGUAACGCGUGAGGAACCUGCCUCUCAGUGGGGGACAACGGCUGGAAACGGCUGCUAAUACCGCAUGACGCGUUUUCGGGACAUCCCGGGAACGCCAAAGAUUUUAUCGCUGAGAGAUGGCCUCGCGUCUGAUUAGCUUGUUGGCGGGGUAAUGGCCCACCAAGGCGACGAUCAGUAGCCGGACUGAGAGGUUGGCCGGCCACAUUGGGACUGAGAUACGGCCCAGACUCC